AUCAUUAAAAGCAUCUAUGCAUACAUCUCUCAUUUUUAAUUUUUCUUUUAAAAUUUGAUUUUCAUUUUUGAGAUAUUCAUUUUCUUUUCUUUCUUCAAUAAGUGACUCUGCUUCAUUCAUUAGCUCAUUUAUGCAGUUCUUAAAAUAAGCAGUUUUCUUUUUAAGCUUUUGAUUUUCAUUAUGUAAAGCAAGAUAAUCAGAAAUAGUAAUUUCUCCAAGUUCAGGACUUACCUCGGAUGUUUCCU
rnacentral:lncRNA from 1 species